rnacentral:rRNA from 1 species
UACGGGGGGGGCAAGCGUUGUUCGGAAUUACUGGGCGUAAAGGGCGCGUAGGCGGCCUGCUAAGUCGGAUGUGAAAUCCCUCGGCUCAACCGAAGAACUGCAUCCGAUACUGGCGGGCUUGAAUCCGGGAGAGGGAUGUGGAAUUCCAGGUGUAGCGGUGAAAUGCGUAGAUAUCUGGAGGAACACCGGUGGCGAAGGCGGCAUCCUGGACCGGUAUUGACGCUGAGGCGCGAAAGCUAGGGGAGCAAACGGG